rnacentral:rRNA from 1 species
GAUGAACGCUGGCGGCGUGCCUAAUACAUGCAAGUCGAGCGAACAGACGAGGAGCUUGCUCCUCUGACGUUAGCGGCGGACGGGUGAGUAACACGUGUAUAACCUACCUAUAUGACUGGGAUAACUUCGGGAAAGCGGAUCUAAUACCGUAUAAUCUAUUGAACCACAUUGUUCAAUAGUGAAAUACGGUUUUGCUGUCACGUAUAGAUGGAUCCGCGCCGCAUUAGCUAGUAGUUAAGGUAACGGCUUACCAAGGCAACGAUGCGUAGCCGACCUGAGAGGGUGAUCGGCCACACUGGAGCGGAGCCACGGUCCAGAGUCCUACGGGAGGCAGCAGUAGGGAAUCUUACGCAAUGGGCGAAAGUCUGACGGAGCAGCGCCGCGUGAGUGAUGAAGGUCUUCGGAUCGUAAAGCUCUGCUAUUAGGUGAGAACAACUGUGUCAGUAAAUAUGCAGGUAUUGACGGUAACUGAUAAGAAAGCAACGGCUAACUACGUG